UAUAUUUAUAUUCAUGAUAUUUUGUAUAUAGACAUGUGCAUAAUAACCCGAGUCAGGGACUGUCGGGGCUUCUCAUUGCCCGAUUGUCGGCUGAGGUUUGUUUUUUUUUAUGUUUUGGUUGGGUUUGGUUUGUUGUUGCCUGCCAUUCUGAGGGCUACCGUUGAGCGAUAAGACACAGCUGGCCGGAAAGACAAAUCAAUGAAAACAAAAAACAAA